rnacentral:rRNA from 1 species
UAAUUCGAUGCACGCUAGACCUUACCUGGUCUUGACAUCACAGAAGUUUUAGAGAUGAGUAUGUCCUUCGGGACCUGUGAGACAGAUGCUGCAUGCUGUCGUCAGCUCGUGUUGUGAAAUGUUGGGUUAAGUCCCGCAACGAGCGCAACCCUUAUCCUUUGUUGCCAGCGGUCCGGCCGGGAACUCAAAGGAGACUGCCAGUGAUAAACUGGAGGAAGGUGGGGAUGACGUCAAGUCAUCAUGGCCCUUACGACCAGGGCUACACACGUGCUACAAUGGCGCAUACAAAGAGAAGCGACCUCGCGAGAGCAAGCGGACCUCAUAAAGUGCGUCGUAGUCCGGAUUGGAGUCUGCAACUCGACUCCAUGAAGUCGGAAUCGCUAGUAAUCGUGGAUCAGAAUGCCACGGUGAAUACGUUCCCGGGCCUUGUACACACCGCCCGUCACACCAUGGGAGUGGGUGCAAA